rnacentral:rRNA from 1 species
AGUGAACGCUGGCGGUAGGCCUAACACAUGCAAGUCGAACGGCAGCACAGUAAGAGCUUGCUCUUACGGGUGGCGAGUGGCGGACGGGUGAGGAAUACAUCGGAAUCUACUUUUUCGUGGGGGAUAACGUAGGGAAACUUACGCUAAUACCGCAUACGACCUACGGGUGAAAGCAGGGGAUCUUCGGACCUUGCGCGAUUGAAUGAGCCGAUGUCGGAUUAGCUAGUUGGCGGGGUAAAGGCCCACCAAGGCGACGAUCCGUAGCUGGUCUGAGAGGAUGAUCAGCCACACUGGAACUGAGACACGGCCCAGACUCCUACGGGAGGCAGCAGUGGGGAAUAUUGGACAAUGGGCGCAAGCCUGAUCCAGCCGUACCGCGUGGGUGAAGAAGGCCUUCGGGUUGUAAAGCCCUUUUGUUGGGAAAGAAAAGCAGCAGGUUAAUACCCCGCUGUUCUGACGGUACCCAAAUAAUAAGCACCGGCUAACUUCGUG